rnacentral:rRNA from 1 species
UACGUAGGGUGCAAGCGUUGUCCGGAAUUAUUGGGCGUAAAGAGCGUGUAGGCGGCCUGUUAAGUCUUGCGUGAAAUCCCUCGGCUUAACCGAGGAACUGCGUCUGAUACUGGAUGGCUUGAAUCCGGGGGAGGGAUGUGGAAUUCCAGGUGUAGCGGUGAAAUGCGUAGAUAUCUGGAGGAACACCGGUGGCGAAGGCGGCAUCCUGGACCGGUAUUGACGCUGAGGAGCGAAAGCCAGGGGAGCAAACGGG